rnacentral:rRNA from 1 species
GUACACGCUGUGACUAGCAUAUCAAUAAGCGGAGGAAAAGAAACUAACAAGGAUUCCCCUAGUAACGGCGAGUGAAGCGGGAAGAGCUCAAAUUUGAAAUCUUAAAGGGUUUCCCUUUACGAAUUGUAGUUUAAAGAAGUGUUUUCUGUUGAGGUUUUGGUAAAAGUUCUUUGGAAUAGGAUAUCAUAGAGGGUGAGAAUCCCGUAUUUGACCUUUACUUUCAACUUUGUGAUACACUUUCAAAGAGUCGGAUUGUUUGGGAAUGCAGUCCAAAAUGGGUGGUAAAUUUCAUCUAAAGCUAAAUAUUGGCGAGAGACCGAUAGCGAACAAGUACCGUGAGGGAAAGAUGAAAAGAACUUUGAAAAGAGAGUUAAACAGUACGUGAAAUUGUCAAAAGGGAAGCGUUUGACACCAGUGUUGUUUUUCUGAAAAUCAAUUAAAGAACUGUUUAUGCUAAGCUGUUUAGACUUUAUCAGCUAUCUGUUUAGUUUUGAGCUUUUCUUUAAUGCACUUUUCAGUUAACAAGUCAACAUCUAUUUCUUUUGCUGUAAAAAAGCUUGAGGAAGGUGGCUUGAGAUUCGUCUUAAGUGUUUAUAGCCUCUUGCCUAUGCAGUCGGAGAGAUUGAGGUCUGCAGCGUAGAUCCUUCGGGGCUAAAUGCAUUUGUGCUAAGUUAUAGCAUUUUAUAGACAACUUGUUGACUAUGAUUUGUCUUGUAGCUUACUCGCUUAUGUUAUUUUACCUACGCUUAGGAUGUUGAAGAUGUAGCACAUCAU